UUAGUGUUGCGUUUUGAACUUGAGUUUGUGUGUUUGUUGAACUUGAGUUUGUGGCGUGUUUGAACUCGAGUUUGUGGUGUUUUUCAGCUUCAGGUUUUGGCAAAUGUUAAACUUGAUAUUUGGGUGUUGUUUGAACUUGAGUUUGUGUUGUGUUUGAACUUGAGUUUGUGUUGUGUUUGAACCUGAGUUUGUGUCGUGUUUGAACUUGAGUUUGUCGUGUUUCAACUUGAGUUUGUGUCAUGUUUAAACUUGAGUUUGUUGCAAUUUUUUAACUUGAGUUUUGAACUUGAGUCUUUGGUUUUUAGUGUCCUUUAUUUGGUGGCAAUUGUUAAACU